AGUGGACGCUGGCGGUAGGCCUAACACAUGCAAGUCGAACGGCAGCACAGUAAGAGCUUGCUCUUACGGGUGGCGAGUGGCGGACGGGUGAGGAAUACAUCGGAAUCUACUUUUUCGUGGGGGAUAACGUAGGGAAACUUACGCUAAUACCGCAUACGACCUACGGGUGAAAGCAGGGGAUCUUCGGACCUUGCGCGAUUGCAUGAGCCGAUGUCGGAUUAGCUAGUUGGCGGGGUAAAGGCCCACCAAGGCGACGAUCCGUAGCUGGUCUGAGAGGAUGAUCAGCCACACUGGAACUGAGACACGGUCCAGACUCCUACGGGAGGCAGCAGUGGGGAAUAUUGGACAAUGGGCGCAAGCCUGAUCCAGCCAUACCGCGUGUGUGAAGAAGGCCUUCGGGUUGUAAAGCCCUUUUGUUGGGAAAGAAAAGCAGCAGGUUAAUACCCCGCUGUUCUGACGGUACCCAAAGAAUAAGCACCGGCUAACUUCGUG
rnacentral:rRNA from 1 species